CGCUUCCUCUUUGUACCUUUGUUCCUGUCGUCUGGUUUUCCCUCGGUCUGUCUGGAGGCUCACGGUCAGUAUUUUAGCCUUGUCCAAGUGGACUUCUGUUGGUCGGUCUGUCUGUGUCUGCUGGCCGUGAGUCUCUCUCCCGUCUGUGUCAUCGGUUCCCCACCUACCUCCAUGUUACCUCAAUAAACCCUGGUCCAAGCUGCAUUUGGUC